rnacentral:misc_RNA from 1 species
AGAAUUUUGUGGCAAAGAAUUUCAAAGUCAAAGAUGAGAAGAAUGACGUUAGGAUAAAUCAGUAACAAACACUGCGUGACAAGACUACUCUUUUCUCUCUAAGUUUUAGAGAGAGGAAAUCCCCUCGUUUGAUCGGGAGAUUGACAAAAAAAAGUAUAAUAAAAAAUAAAAUGAUACAAAAAAAAGUGAGUUUGAAAGUAAUUACGAAAAAAAGAUAAAUUAUGUUGAGUUGGAUGUAGUGCGUGCGAGACGCUAAUUAUAAUAGUGUUUUUAAGGUCCGGACGUUAUUUAUAAUAGCGUACUCAUCAAAAAUUUUAAAGAAAAGCCAG